rnacentral:rRNA from 1 species
GACGAACCGUGCGAACGUUGUUCGGAAUCACUGGGCUUAAAGGGCGCGUAGGCGGGCCUUCAAGUCCGGGGUGAAAGCCUCCAGCCUAACUGGAGAAGAGCCUCGGAGACUGAGGGCCUCGAGGGAGGUAGGGGCAAGCGGAACUAUGGGUGGAGCGGUGAAAUGCAUUGAUAUCCAUAGGAACUCCGGUGGCGAAGGCGGCUUGCUGGACCUCUUCUGACGCUGAGGCGCGAAAGCCAGGGAGCAAACGGG